GCCAAGUAAAUUUAGUGAUAACAGUGAAAACAACAGUGACAGUUAAAUCAAUUUCGAGAGAGUUGGAAUCACAAUCCCGAGGCACCCCGGGCAUCGUCCCCAGCAACAGGCGGCACUUGCACCGACCGAUCACACAGCUAAUCGCCUCCCAUGCUCGUCUCACAUAAGUUUGUGCGUGUGUGUGGGAGUGGCCCAGGGAACAACCGUAAGCACAGUGGCAGAGUGCAGAGGGCCCAGGUGCGGCUCAUCAGGCUCGUUAAAGAAGGGCUCUUAAGGAGCAUGCUGUCUACUGCUCGUCGCCUGAGUGUCCCUUCAGUGUGAUCACCUCCACGAUUGUGCCUCUAGCUCCUUGAGCUCGCUCAUAGCUAGCGCUCUUCCUGCUCAUCAAUGACACGUUCUUCAGUUCCUCUGGCUCCCUCCACUGAUCACCGCCAAGAUCCACCUAGUUCUGGCUGAGCUCCUCACGCUCCGCCACUGCUGCCCCCGCUCCGUGCUCCUGGCUUCGAUCAUGCCGCUCUACCUCCACCGCAGCUCUUCCAAUAAACAUUCACUCAUUCUGGA